UACGAAGGGUGCAAGCGUUACUCGGAAUUACUGGGCGUAAAGCGUGCGUAGGCGGUUUGUUAAGUCUGUCGUGAAAGCCCUGGGCUCAACCUGGGAACUGCAUUGGUGACUGGCAGGCUUUGAGUGUGGCAGAGGGAGGUAGAAUUCCACGUGUAGCAGUGAAAUGCGUAGAGAUGUGGAGGAACACCAGUGGCGAAGGCGACUCUUUGGCCUGUAACUGACACUGAGGCGCGAAAGCGUGGGGAGCAAACAGG
rnacentral:rRNA from 1 species